AUUUAUAUAAUAUAAAAAUUAUAUUUAACUUCCAAUUAAAAAAUCUAAUAAUCUAGUGUAAAUA
rnacentral:tRNA from 1 species